CCUACGGGAGGCAGCAGUGAGGAAUAUUGGUCAAUGGACGGAAGUCUGAACCAGCCAUGCCGCGUGCAGGAAGACGGCUCUAUGAGUUGUAAACUGCUUUUGUACAAGGGUAAACCUGAAUACGUGUAUUCAGCUGAAAGUACUGUACGAAUAAGGAUCGGCUAACUCCGUGCCAGCAGCCGCGGUAAUACGGAGGAUCCAAGCGUUAUCCGGAUUUAUUGGGUUUAAAGGGUGCGUAGGCGGAUUGAUAAGUUAGAGGUGAAAUGUCCGGGCUUAACUCGGGAACUGCCUCUAAUACUGUUGAUCUAGAGAGUAGAUGCGGUAGGCGGAAUGUAUGGUGUAGCGGUGAAAUGCUUAGAGAUCAUACAGAACACCGAUUGCGAAGGCAGCUUACCAAGCUAUAUCUGACGUUGAGGCACGAAAGCGUGGGGAGUAAACAGGAUUAGAUACCCGAGUAGUC
rnacentral:rRNA from 1 species